CUAUUCCCAGUGCAGGACGAACUAACACCUCGUAUGUAUUCCUGUGACGUCACAAAGGGCGGAGAAUAUUGGUAUAUAAUCCGCAAGUCGAACCUCGUCGCCACGGGGCUACGUAGCAUAAGCUACAUUCGCAUAACUUAUUUAUUUGCUUCCAGUAUUACUGCGUAGGAGCAGAUAUCAAUGAAUAAUUAAGCCAGCAGUCAACUCUCGUGCUGGAUGGAUUGGAUGAGUUCUAGUAUGGCCAAUGCACAUACACCACAGCUCACGGAUUAAAAUCAGGCAAAAUAAAAACUUACCGGGAUAUUGAAUCUACUACUAUGAGCUUGAAUCAUCUCUUCUAGCCGCAACACGGCAAUAGCAACAGUCGCUGCCGCGGGAAUUUCGUAUCACUUUUACGCGUGAUCCAGGGCAAGACAGGGAAGUUUGGUACAGCCCGAAGGGCAGCAGCAGUAUAACACAGAAGGGCAGCCACAGAAGACGGGAGAAGGCGACAAGUUAGGGAGAGCAGAGGAAAUGCCGUGAAGCGGUCCGUCUCUCAAUAUUACACAAUAUAGUGUAUGCAUUAAAAGCUUGGACUAAUCAAUUGUUUCGGUACGCAAGCGGCAACUAAAUGAAAUGGGUUUUUUGAAGGAAGAACGAAUCUAUGGACUGUUAGUUGGGGCAAUCAGGCUAAGUAGGGGGUUAUUACGAAUUUUAAUAGCAAUG
rnacentral:sRNA from 1 species